rnacentral:rRNA from 1 species
CUACGGGCGGCAGCAGUGAGGAAUUUUGCGCAAUGGGGGUAUCCCUGACGCAGCAACGCCGCGUGAGUGAUGAAGGCUUUCGGGUCGUAAAGCUCUGUCAAGUGGGAAGAAUAUACGAAAUGCUAAUACCAUUUUGUACUGACGGUACCACUGAAGGAAGCACCGGCUAACUCCGUGCCAGCGGCCGCGGUAAUACGGGGGGUGCAAGCGUUAUUCGGAAUUAUUGGGCGUAAAGAGCACGUAGGCGGCCGCUUAAGUCAGAUGUGAAAGCCCGGGGCUCAACCCCGGAAGUGCAUUUGAAACUAAGUGGCUUGAGUAUGGGAGAGGGAAGUGGAAUUCCUGGUGUAGAGGUGAAAUUCGUAGAUAUCAGGAGGAACACCGGUGGCGAAGGCGACUUCCUGGACCAAUACUGACGCUGAGGUGCGAAGGCGUGGGGAGCAAACAGGAUUAGAUACCCUUGUAGUC